rnacentral:lncRNA from 10 species
CUUAGUGCGGGUGGCGGCCAAGAGGAAGUGCUGGAAUCCUCGGUGGCCUAACCCCGGCCCUCAGGACAGAACAGAAGGCAGGCGGCCCCGGCCAGGACAUGCCCAGUGGAAUUUCAGAGGCACUUUCGGGAACACAGCGCCUUCGCACCUUCUGCUCGGUACACACCUCGAGGGGUGGCAGCCAGCUCUUGGCGGCCCACCCAGCACCCUGAAGCCUGAACUGCCUGGACUGUCGCUGAGCAAAUGCCAGGGCCCGAAGAGGACCUGGAAGAGGGCGGGUGAGGGGCUGCAGGCGUGUGGGGCCUGGAUGAUCCCAUCUUGACGACGAGCUGGGAACCGCAGACCGGUGUCAUCCUGGCUGGAGAUGGAGGUCUCUACAUGGCUCCCUGUGUGGCCAGACCACUGUGGCUGGACCAGAGUUUCCCGAUAGCCUCUGGGAAUGGCAGGGACAGUGGGGGAGGAGGUCCCAGGGGAUUUUAUUAACAGAAGGGGGGAGAGAGGGUAGAGAAAGGUAAUGGGAACAAGUAGCUGAAAAUAUGCCCUGGAGAGCAGGGGAGGAGGCUGAGCAGGCAACUUCAAAAGGGAUGGAAGAAAAUGGGGGCUGCGGAGAGUUGAAGAGUGACCCCAAAAGAUAUGUCCAUCCAGAACCUCAGAAUGUGACCUUGUUUGGAAUAAGGGCUUUUGAGGAUAUAAUUCAGCAGCAGCCCGGGGGCACAGGCACGCAGAAGAGACUUUCCCACAGCGGUUCCCAGAGCCCUGGAUGAGGCGUCCUCCAAAGGAUUAUGUCACCAAGUUUCUGCAGGUGGGCACGGCCUGACGACUGGAUUGUCCAACAAAACACAGAAAGUGUAGACAAGAGAACAGCAGAAAGUGACGCCUGCAGCCACAGAGAUGUGCUCCCAGUCUCCCUCUUUUCUGACUGCUGGGGGUGCACACCACAGCGAGGCCCAAGGGCUGUGAUGGAGGCCUAGGAUGGAAGGUGGCUGGUCCCUGAAUUACUUCUAGGAGAGGCACCAUCUGCUGAGCAGGAACCCCUGCCUGGGACAGUUGCAAGAACAAGAAAUCAGCUCCUUUUGUGCCAGAACCAGUAUGCAUGUUGAGGUCCAAUCCUACAGUUAGUGAUGUGGUAACAGAAAUGAGCUUUGUGCUUCCAUGCCCUGGGCAACUGCAGGCAGCUGAGGCCCCCAUCUGCAGGUGGUCUCUGCAGGCAGAGGGUUUCUGGUGAAGGGCCCUAUGGGGUUUCUGAUGAGGGCCCCACAGAAACCAGAAUCUCUUCCCUGCUGCUUAUUUCAAAUUCUGCUCGGUUGUCCCUUCCAGGCCAGGCGGGUAAUCUUGCUUGUGGCCACACUCCUCUUCCUGGGACCUGAGCCUGCCCUCCUGCUCCUGAGUAGUUCAUUGUGAUGCUGUCUGCUGUGGCUGUGGAGUGCUACGCGCUGGCCAGCCUGAGGGCGACCUGUACCGCCUUGGCCAAACCCUUUACCCCACUGAGAGAUACCUCCCUCAUCUGCAGCGAGAGUCCCUACCUUGUAGGGCAGUGUGAAGGAUGUCCUGAGAUGGUCAGGACUUAGCACCCUGUAAGCACAAGAGCUGUUCUUGGUGGCGUUAUGAUCACACCCACAGAUAGGGCCUCAGGCAGGCCUCAGUGUCCUCCUGGCUGGCCACGUGCUACGGAUGUCCCCAUGCACUUGAUGUGUCAGCAGCAGAAGGACCUUCAGGAGGAGGCAACGAUGGGAUGAGACGAGGCUCAAAGGAGGAUGUUGCCGCGCAGAGACGUUUCGGGAAUAUGAGGCAGGUCACCACCUAUGAUUCUUGUGGUAGUGGAGGAAUGGUGGCGGCUGUCAUUGUGACACCCACUUUAGAGACAGGAAACUGAGCUUCAGAGAGGGGGAGUCCAGGCCCCACAGCACACAGCCAGGAAAGGGCCGGGCAGAAGGGGCUUUGGGUUUUAACCUAACUCACCCCGACUGCCUGCUUCUUCACCCAGCCAUCAUGGAACGUCUCUGUGCCUCUUCCCUGCUCUCGUGGAGGCCUGGGUCAGGCAGCUGCCCAGAGGCAGACGUGCACUGUGACCCUAGAAGACUGUUCCAGACAGGCCAGCCCAGGCAGAGACAAAACAGGGACCUGCUCCUCAUUGGUGUCACGACCAAAUGCAGGGGAUUUGCUAAGGGAGGCGCAGCCAUGAAUUGGGAGCCAGCUUCGUGCUCUGCCACUCCUUCUUGCUAAUCCCUCGAAAAUCCAAUCAGAGCUGUUUCCCUCCAUGAAACCAACUGGACACAGCACAUACUGGCCGGACCUCUGCCAGCAUGGAGUGGAUCUUUUUUCUGUUUAAAGAACCAGGUUUCAAAUGUUCUUAAUAAAACGUUUAUAUAUAUCAUGCAGGGUGCAAAUAAAUAUUUUAAUAUAAUUGGAAGAAUGUAGAGAAUUGUAAAAAGUUAUGGAAGUUUUACUUCUGAUUGGCCAAGACUCAAUAAACUCUGGUUUGAUGUACUCUAAUUUAUAGGCGUGCAAAGCCAACUCUUUGGCAUCAGAGAGGCCGUUAACGUUGUAAUGAUGUUUAAACGCUGACAAAUGAGCUGCUUGGGCGGCACCUUCAGCCCUGAGAAUGGAACUGUUGGAGCUGGAGGACUUGCCUGUCCCCAGCUUUCUCCCUUCCUCCCGUGCUGGUGGAGCAGGUUAAGGGCAGGAGGACUGUUCAUUGGGGCGACUGCUCCCCAUCGGUUGAGGGGAGGGCACAAAGGGGACCCAUGGCUUCUUUUUCACUGUUGUCCCUAAUUAUGGUCUUUCUCAUUAAAAUAACAAGGACCAUUUCUGCUAGAAACGCUGACACAUGUUUUUACUUUUCUGGGCCGAUGGAAACCACAUGUAGAAUCCAUUCCUUCCUUUUUUCCCUCCAAAAUGCAAAUGGAAGAGCUGGUCCAGGGGGUCCCCGGUUGCCCAGCCCUGAACAGAGGCUUGGGGAAGCCCCCUACUCCCACG